rnacentral:rRNA from 1 species
GACGAACGCUGGCGGCGCGCUUAACACAUGCCAGUCGAACGGAAAGGCCUGCUUUCCCUUGUGGAUUGCGGGUACUCGAGUGGCGAACGGGUGAGUAACACGUGAGUGAUCUGCCCCCAACUUGGGUAUAAGCCUGGGAAACUGGGUCUAAUUCCCGAUAGGACUGCAGGGUGGUGCCUGUGGUGGAAAACGAUUUUCUAGUGGUUGGGGAUGAGCUCGCGGCCUAUCAGCUUGUUGGUGGGGUAAUGGCCUACCAAGGCGGCGACGGGUAGCCGGCCUGGGAGGGUGGACGGCGACAUUGGGACUGAGAUACGGCCCAGACGCCUACGGGAGGCAGCAGUGGGGAAUAUUGCACAAUGGGCGGAAGCCUGAUGCAGCGACGCCGCGUGGGGGAUGACGGCCUUCGGGUGGUAAACUCCUUUCGACCGCGAGGAAGCCACCUGGUUGGAAGGGUGGUGACGGUAGUGGUAGAAGAAGCACCGGCUAACUACGUG